GUAGAGUCGGCUAUCGGUGUUUGCUGCACGGAUUCCGGGGUUUCUGGGCAAAGAAAUUUCUGAAGGCGAAGAGGAGGCAAGAGAAGGAGGUUACGUACACUAUUCAUGGAUUUCCCAUUGCCAUGCAGGUUUGGGCGUACGAGGCAGUUCCCGAGAUUGGGGAACGUUUUGGUCAGAGAGUUGGGGAACAAAUGCCACGAUUGCUUAGGUGGUCCGCACGAAAACAACCACAGCAUCGUACGUACGAUACAUUCUUCAAGAACGUGCGGUUGCAUGUGUAUGCCACACUUCGUCCCA